rnacentral:rRNA from 1 species
CUGAACGCCUCUAAGUCAGAAUCCGUGCUAGAAACGAUGAUGUGGUGUCGCACAUUAGACUUGUGUUUAAUAGAGCUUUGCUCGUGAACCAAAUAUGGUGGGCUGGGUUGUCUUUGUGGAAACGCUUAGGCGACUUGUCUACGAAUUGUAAUCAUAAUAUGGGCGGCGGUGAAUCCUUUGCAGACGACUUGAAUGGGAACGGGGUACUGUAAGUGGUAGAGUAGCCUUGUUGCUACGAUCCACUGAGGUUAAGCCCUUGUUCUAAAGAUUUGUUCA